rnacentral:tRNA from 1 species
GAGGGUAUAGCUUAGUGGUAGAGCGCAUGCUUGGCAUGCAUAAGGUUCCUGGGUUCAAUCCCCAGUACCUGUU